GGGCGUAGAAGGGGCAGCGGAGGACGGAAAAAGAAACACCACCGUCAGGAGUUAUGCGGAUGAACAAAACGAACUCACCCACUGUGAAGCACUUCCUGUGUGGACGACGAGCGGCGUUAAAAAGACAACAAACCGCGUUUAACGCCGGUGAGAUAACGGGACAGCGGUGUGGGGACUGAACUCGGAGGACAAACUAAUCGCUCACCUGAACGGACGUCCUUUCUUUUGGCGACAACGUCACCAGAACAUUUUCGGAUGUGACAGAUGAGACCCCG